rnacentral:tRNA from 1 species
GGCUCCAUAGCUCAGUGGUUAGAGCACUGGUCUCAUAAACCAAGGGUCAUGCAUCUA